UCGCAGGAAAACNGGCUUAACACGGCCACUGA
rnacentral:piRNA from 1 species